GUGCUCAUUUCCAAAACACAUAUACUAAAAUUGGAACAGUACAGAGAAGAUUAGCAUGGCCCCUGGGCAGGGAUGACAAGCAAAUAUGUGUAAUAUUAAGGGGAGAA
ensembl:snRNA U6 U6 spliceosomal RNA